UUCGUAUUUAAAAUAUUAGACAUUAUACAUACGGGUAUUUACCAGUGAACAAUCGUAUUCUGACGUCAUUUGCCCCUGCACUUCGAAGAAGAAGGACCUUCGGCUUCUGCGCUUCUCGGCCAAAAAAUAAUGAACCACAAGCAUUGAUUUUCUGCCAAGGAACGAGUAUAAAUACCAAUCGAAUACCAUAUCAAUGUCGAGGAACGUGUGAGAGAGACGUUUGGGAAACAUUUUGAAGAAAAUGAAGAAGAAAUGGCGGUAAAAUUGCGAAGACAAAUUCGGCCAGGUCGAAGGAAUUCCAAACCAAGAUGGCGUCGCCUUCUUCUCCAAUCUGAAAAAUGCACCGAAAAUCAUUUUAAUUGGGUUGGACUUCAGUUUAUUAGGAUAUUUAUUAGAGACGUAAGUUCUCCUAUAAUUUUUUCAAGUAUGGAAAAGUAUAAUAUUUUAUUUACGAAAAUUAAUUUUUUCAGCAAAAAUUUAUACCUGACAUUAUACCCCCAAAAUACUACAAUUUAAUUAUUGUUAAGCCAAAACCAUACUGGUGUGGGGAUGUCAUCUUAUAAUUGAAUUAACCGCAAAAAUGAAUUAACCGCAAAAUAGGAAAUACCCCCUUUCCAAAAACCUGACAAACAACCUCCCAGGCCCCCCGUACCAGCUAUUCAUUCUAUUUUUUUCUCAUUUUCUCUUAUAUAUAUAUAUAUAUACAAUUACUAUUAUUUUUUCUCCAGCGAGACUGUAGAAGAACCAUACAAGAUGAAACCAGCGAUUGAAAAGAUGAGGCUUGAAUUCUCUCGGGUAUAUUAAUUUUUAUCUCUCUUGUUUUAAUAUAAUAUAGAAAUACUUGCAUUGGAUAGUGCAGGUUUUUGAUUGACCAUUCUUUUUAGCAUGUAUUACCCUCAGAGUACAAUUUAGAUCUUUUAGAUUUUUCUGACCAAUGGAGAGAGCAGCAGAUCUAGUUCUAUUAUUGUAUCUAAAAUUUUCCAUACACUAUAGAUCCAUACAACAGCUGUGAUGAAGUCGCGCCCUAAAUAAAGGACCUGGAUAAUGCCUAAUUCAAGAGCAUUGGAAAUGGUGAGAAAAACAAAUUUCAGAAAAUACAAUUGUUAAAUAUUACAAAAAUUGUUUUAAUUAGCUCCUUAUUUUUUUAACAUGGAACAUAACAUUAUACUCCACGUUUCGACUAGUACAGUCAACUACAGUUGAAUACCACGUUUUCAAAAAUGAAAGCUCGCUGGUCGUGAACAGCGAGCUUUUUGAAAAUUUUUAUUAAUCUCUAUUGUAAAGACUUUUCUAAAAUUUUCGUUGCUUUUUCUCAAAGAAUGUGAAGAAAACUGGAUAGCAGACCCUGGAGUGAUAUAGACGACAUGGACCAACGAAAUCAAUUACGAAUUUAAGCUGCGAAGAUGCAACAAGAAUCGCAAAUGUAAGGUUUGUCGAUGUUAAUCACAAUCAACGAGAUUCCAUUUACUAGUUUUAUGUAAUUCACAUUGCUCCUUAACAUUCUAAUUGCAACUAAAAUAACAGUUAAUUUUAUUUUGUGAGUGUUUUGUAACGCGAAUUAAUAACAUUUUCUCAUUUUAUGAUGGUUUACGUGACAUUGAGUGCACUUGUGACCCACUGGAUGGACGUGUUGUGAUGUGCUAUGAAGAGAGCGCCAACCAGGACGGAACCAUCAACAAAAUGACGAACCGUGACCAAAAGAAGCAACAUCAAUGCAAAGAUGUAUAGUAAAUGUAAGUUUUGUUGAUACAAUUUGUGGAAAUAACGUAAUUAUACGUAUUUUACGGCAUAUUGUAAAACACGGACUGGACCGGGAAAACGCGGACUCAACCCGCGAUUUGUAAAACAUGGACUCAGUCUGCUUUCUACAAAUCGUGGCAAUGUUUUUGUAAUACACGGAGUCAGUCAAUACUGACUUUGUACUGACUCAGGCGUGCUGAGAAUUUUGGCAGGAAUUGCGGCAUAAUUCUGUGUAUACAUGUAACCUUUAUAUAAAAUCUGAUCGACGCUAGCUUCAUCAACAUUCAGUUGGUUUCCAUGAGGGGCGUCGAUAUAUACAAAAUAACAUAUUUACAAAAAAGACAAAAAGGAUUUUAAAAAGUACAAAGUUGCAAGCGACAAACACGAACAAUAUUUUGUAAGUUGACCCUUCUAAUUAAUAUCCAAUUUAAAAAUAUAUUCUGAUUGGGCUAAUUUUGCUUCCAAAAAAGGCUAUUCCAAAGUUUUGCGCCACUAUAUUUGAAACUUUUUUUUAGGAAUUCCCUUCUCGGAAUUGGUAAAGCUAAAUCAGUAAAUCUAUUUCUAAGAAUGUAUGAUCCUUGCAAUGCACUAUUCAUGGUGAACAAAUUUUUCAAAUUCUGUGCAGUAUAAUUAUUCAAAAUUCUAUAUAUACAUUAAUAUCGAUUUAUUCCUUUUUCGUCUUUCCUCUAAAGUUUCCCAACCAAGAGAUUCAAAAACGUCAGCCGAAUUAAAUUCAUAACUUGCGCCGGCAAUUAUCCUUUCCGCGCGAUUUUGAAAUUUUUGAAGUUUAUCUUUUAAAAAAGCACAACAAUUUCCCCAUAAAGGAGAGUAAUAAUCAAAAUAUGGCUGUAUCAAGGCAUUAUAAAUCAUUUGCAAAGUAUUAUUAGGGACAAAGGGCUUUAUUCGUUUCAUAAUCAUAUCCUGGAGCUUGGUAUAAAUUACUAUUAUUUAUUUAUUGUUUUGAAUAAACAGAUGAACAGCGUUCAAUCUUAUAGGAACACGCUCAGCCAUGUGGAACUUUGUGCCACUAUUGUCGAGGAAACUCGUGCGUAUAUCAAAUGUGGCCGUUUCAAGUAUUAUUUAAAUAGCUGUAUAUAGCCUAUAUAGAUAUAGCUCUUAUAGCAAAUACCAUUGAUACCAUUUAGUGUUAAUCAUAAUUUUACACAGCCAUUCUUGAUUACAUUCAGUUUUACAAUGGUACGAUCCCAAGAAGUUCAGAUAGAGUUAAUUGCAUGUUUAUUUUGCGUUCGUGGCGUAUGAAAAUGGUUAUUAUAAAUUUGCGAGAAAUAUUAAAUUCUAAUCAGUUCCCCAUUAGUCCUUGUUGCGAUUUGUAAAACGCGGACUCAGCCCACGAUUUGUAAAACGCGGACUCAGUCGUUUUCCAUGUUUUACAAAUCGCGGACUAAGUCCGUGUUUUACAAAUCGCGGACUCCGCGUUUUCCUGGUCCAGUCCGUGUUUUACAACAUGUCAAUAUGGCGAUUAUACUGUAAUGAGAGCUUUACCAGUAUUUCUACUUGGAUUUAAUGUCUCACUAAUGUUAACACAAUUAUUUAAUAUAAUUAAUUAAUUCAAUCAUUAUCAAUUAUCUAAUUGAAAUAAUUAUUUGUUUUAAAAAGGACGUGAUGCGGUGUUAAAGCUAGAGAGUGCAACAAGGCAAGAUGAAGACCUGCAACCAACAAAACCUACAACAUUGACAAGGUGAGUUGCUCAUAUUAGACCCUGGAGACGACUAAAGGGAGAAAUCUAUCUGGAGGGGCAUUGGAGACAAAAAUUCAAUCAUUAUCAAUUAUCUAAUUGAAAUAAUUAUUUGUUUUAAAAAGGACGUGAUGCAAUGUUAAAGAGAGUGCAACAAGACAAGAUGAAGACCUGCAACCAACAAAACCUACAACAUUGACAAGGUGAGUUGCUCAUAUUAGGCCCUGGAGACGACUAAAGAGAGAAAUCUAGCUGGAGGGGCAUUGGAGACAAAAAUAUCAUGAUGUCAUUAUAUCGUGAUGCAAUAACAUUAUGUGAUGCUACCAUGUCAUUAUGUCGUGUGCGAACAUGCCAUUAUGUCGGUUCUUCUUCACAUUUCAAAAUAUGUCAUCUCUUAUAUGCAAUUUUAUUAUAUGGCAAGCAUCACUUCUGGUGAAAUGGCGGACUGCGAUUGGCUGAGAAGCACUUUCAGCGGUCCAUUUUUUCCCGUAAUGGACCGAUGGUCCAUUAUGUAAAAACUAACGCAUACAUUUUGAAACAAAACAGCAAAACUAUAAUUGAAAAUUAUAAUUUAAUUUGUUAUUAAUACUAUAUCUGCGCGCGAAUGCGUGGUUUUAGUGGAAAAUAAGGAAUACAUUAGUAUAGUAUUUUUUAGUUUUCUUCCGACCAAAUGUGUACCACGCAAUUAAUAUAAAUUUCAAAUCGUGCAUUUCUUGUUUGUUUCAAGUAUAAAUGCCUAUAACGCCAUAUUAUUAACCUUUUAUUAAUUAACCUCGCUUGCUCGGUAUGUAUAGAGAAAUAUCGGACCUCGGUCUUUUGGUACAAACCUCGUCCCACGUGCUCGGUCUGUGCAAAAAAGACCUCGGUCCUAUAUAUCUCUGUACAGACCCCGCGUAAUUAAUAUUCGGUUAAUAAGAAGUUUAUGUCGUGUCAUCAUAACUCAUGCCGUAACAGUAACCUAUCCGUACUUGGCCGUGAGAUGUCGUACACGGGCGGAUUUUCAUAUUUUUAAAGGAGCUAAGAUGGAAAAUUUUCUAGUGGGGUGCAAGCGGCAUCACUGAGCGAGCUUCGGCAGGGGUUAGGCGUUGAAGACUUUCCCACAAAAUAGGAGGGGUGAGGAGGACUUUCAGCGGUCCAAACGCAUGCAUUUUAAAACAAAACGGCAAAACUAAUUGAAAAUUAUAAUCUAAUUUGUUAUUAAUAAAAUAUCUGCGAAAUGGUUUUUAGUGGAAAGAAGGAAUACAUUGGUAUAUUUUGUUUUUCUUCGACCAAAUGUGUACCACGCUACUAAUAUGCAUUUCAAAUCUGCAUGCAUUUCUUGUUUAUACGUAUGUGCGUUUUUUUGUUUGUUUGUUUCAAGUAUAAAUGCCAUAUAAUAAUAUUUUUAUUAACCUCGCUUUCUCGGUAUGUACAGAUAAAUAUUGGACCUCGUUCUUUUUCUACAAACCUCGCCAUACGGGCUCAGUCUGUACAAAAAAGAACUCGGUCCGAUAUUUCUCUGUAUAAUGCAGACCUCGCGUUCGGUUAAUAACACGACAUAAUUACAUGGUAACAAGAGUUGCAAGACAUAAUGACAUGAUGUUAUGCAUCACGAUAUAAUGGAUAUGAUGACAUCAUGAUAUUUUUGUCUCUAAUGCCCCUCCAUACUCAGAGAACUGCUAUUCAAAAUAUGUCAACACAAAUAGUUCGUUUCUUCGUAAUAUUGCACUGUGAAAAUUGUUACAGGUGCUAAAGCGUCCCGAUUCAAGAGCAUGCGCUUUAGAAACUACUGCAAGUUUUCUUGCAUGCACUUCCGGUUCCGUGUAUCCCAGGACCUUAUUAUCAUAAUUAAUUUCUAACGAUAGUUUUUUUUUAAAUUCAAAAGAUGAUGUGAUGGGAAGAAUCGACGAUGUAACGAUUCAACGAUGCAAGCUGAGAGAAGUCAACAUGAAAAGACCAGAAUGAAUGACACGCGGAUGAUAUGACCCAAGAAAAUAAUGACAUUUCGCGACAAUCGGAAACCACAAAUUGCUAAUAUGAAAGUAGUGCAAAUUUUACCAAUGUAAGUUAAAGGCAAGAUACUUAUUCAGAAAUCAAAGGGGAUUCCAGCGAAUACAAUUGUUUCUCGUUGAAAAAAUAAAAGAAUUACAUGGUAAAUUUAAUAUAAAAUCAACGUGAUUAUUAAGUGCCUUUGGUAAAACUAAAUAAAAUGAAG
rnacentral:lncRNA from 1 species